GUCAAGAUGGCCGAGUUGGUCUAAGGUGCCAGUUUCAGUUACUGGCCUGAAAGGGCAUGGGUUUAAUUCCCAUUCUUUACA
rnacentral:tRNA from 1 species